ACUACGGGAGUGAUAGGAACUUGAAAAAAUGACAGUUGCAUACUUGCGUGUAAUUUGCUCGGAACAAUUUGCAAUCAACAUUGCAAGAUUGAUUGCAAUGUUGCAAUACUCAUGGGAACAGAACAUCCGGUUUGACUGUAAGAGUUAUAUCAGUCCAAGACUGCUAUAGAAGAAGAUUUUAUCAAAAUAAAGUCAGGAUAAAGUCUAUUAAUACCACGAUUACUAAUGAUUACUACUCUUGAAAGCUUUUCGAAAGACGCCAUCUUGUUUUAAAGCUGUUCUAGCCUGCGAACAGGCCUUCAAAACAAGGUUGACGGACUUAACAACUUAACUUAACUUACUUAACUUUACUUUACUUUACUUUACUUUACUUUACUUUACUUUACUUUACU